rnacentral:rRNA from 1 species
CCUACGGGAGGCUGCAGUGAGGAAUAUUGGUCAAUGGGAGAGAUCCUGAACCAGCCAAGCCGCGUGAGGGAAGACGGCCCUAUGGGUUGUAAACCUCUUUUGUCGGAGAACAAAACCCGGGACGUGUCCCGGACUGCGUGUAUCCGAAGAAAAAGCAUCGGCUAACUCCGUGCCAGCAGCCGCGGUAAUACGGAGGAUGCGAGCGUUAUCCGGAUUUAUUGGGUUUAAAGGGUGCGUAGGCGGAUUUGUAAGUCAGCGGUAAAAAUGCGGUGCUCAACGCCGUAUCGCCGUUGAAACUGGAGGUCUUGAGUGAGCGAGAAGUAUGCGGAAUGCGUGGUGUAGCGGUGAAAUGCAUAGAGAUCACGCAGAACUCCGAUUGCGAAGGCAGCAUACCGGCGCUCAACUGACGCUGAGGCACGAAAGCGUGGGGAUCGAACAGGAUUAGAUACCCUGGUAGUC